AACAAAAGAAAAAAUUUCCAAUGAAAAAAUUAAAAAAAAAAUUGGAAAUUUAAGUUUGGGCCUAGUAUUGUCUAAAGUUGCGACCCAUUAAGGCAUCAGGAAAUGGAGCUCCAAAAACAGCACUGUUGGGGCGCAAAACCCUUGCAUUUCGCCUCUUUUGAAUGAAGAAAGCGAGGGACUUCUUCUUCCUCGCAACAAUCCUCAGAAGCAGCAGCUUUCUCACUCUUCUAAGGCCCACUCCUCAGAUGGAGGACAUAUCAGAGAGAUACUGUUUCAAACCAAUUCUGCGAUGGAACCCUCAGGUGGAGGACUACUUUGUCAGAGCUUACGGACCUGACCAUUUCUCCUGCAUUUCCCAAGCUCUCACGUAACUUAUUUUAAUCACUUACUCUGAUACUGGAUUCUUUAUUUAUUUAUUUUUUUAAGUGAAUCGUUUGGUUACCCUUUCGUGUGGGAGAAAAUAGGAGUAAUUAACUUUACCUUCUCUGUUUACUAGGCUGCCAAGCAUAAAUUAGAAGAUUAGUUCUUUUGGAGUAGAGAUUAAUGCUGGAAAAAUGCUGUCCUGAAUGAUGUCUUGUCUAUACAUACUCGGACAGUGUUAGUCGUUACGCUCUGUAUUUGGUAGGAAAUGUUUUUUUUUUUUUUGGGGGAAAAAAAAAAAAAAAAAAAGGGUUAACAUACACUACCCUACUUUUGUUUGUAGCCAAGGAGAGGAGAAUAAAAAAAGUUAAGUUUCUUAUUUGGCAUCACUUGAGGACAUAUUGUUCGAAGGUUAUUCAGCUGAAUUUCUUUCUA